GGGUAACGGCCCACCAAACCGACGAUGGAUAGGGGUUCUGAGAGGAAGGUCCCCCACAUUGGUACUGAGACACGGACCAAACUCCUACGGGAGGCAGCAGUGAGGAAUAUUGGUCAAUGUCCGAGAGGCUGAACCAGCCAAGUCGCGUGAAGGAAGAAGGAUCUAUGGUUUGUAAACUUCUUUUAUAGGGGAAUAAAAUGGAGGACGUGUCCUUUUUUGUAUGUACCCUAUGAAUAAGCAUCGGCUAACUCCGUGCCAGCAGCCGCGGUAAUACGGAGGAUGCGAGCGUUAUCCGGAUUUAUUGGGUUUAAAGGGUGCGUAGGUGGUGAUUUAAGUCAGCGGUGAAAGUUUGUGGCUCAACCAUAAAAUUGCCGUUGAAACUGGGUUACUUGAGUGUGUUUGAGGUAGGCGGAAUGCGUGGUGUAGCGGUGAAAUGCAUAGAUAUCACGCAGAACUCCGAUUGCGAAGGCAGCUUACUAAACCAUAACUGACACUGAAGCACGAAAGCGUGGGGAUCAAACAGGAUUAGAUACCCUGGUAGUCCACGCAGUAAACGAUGAAAGGGAGGAGUGUACGAUACAAUGUAAAGCUCGUACAGCGAAAGCGUUAUGUAAUCCACCUGGGGAGUACGCCGGCAUCGGUGAAACUCAAAGGAAUUGACGGGCGCCCGCACAAGAGGAGGAACAUGUGGUUUAAUUAGAUGAUACCCGAGGAACCUUACCCGGGUUCGAACGUAGUCUGACCGGAGUGGAAACACUUUAUCUAGCAAUAGCAGAGUAAGAGGUGGUGCAUGGUUGUCGUCAGCUCGCGCCGUGAGGUGUCGGCCUAAGUGCCAUAACGAGCGCAACCCUUAUCACUAGUUAUUAACAGGUGAAGCCGAGGACUCUGGUGAGACUGCCAGCGUAAGCUGUGAGGAAGGUGGGGAAGACGUCAAAUCAGCACGGCCCUUACAUCCGGGGCGACACACGUGUUACAAUGGCAUGGACAAAGGGCAGCUACCUGGCGACAGGAUGCUAAUCUCCAAACCAUGUCUCAGUUCGGAUCGGAGUCUGCAACUCGACUCCGUGAAGCUGGAUUCGCUAGUAAUCGCGCAUCAGCCAUGGCGCGGUGAAUACGUUCCCGGCCCUUGUACACACCGCCCGUCA
rnacentral:rRNA from 1 species